AAUCUUCAAUUUGAACUAUAUCCCAAAACCUGCAAAUCCCUAUAUUCCCUUCAUAUCCCUUCUCCAUUUUUCACUUUCACUAAUAAACAAAAUCCCAAAACCCAUAAGUUCUUGUACAUAUCUCAAUCUUCUUCCUUUCUCAAAUUUUGACUGAAUUUCCCCUUAAUUCUUGACUUUUGAAUUCUGGGUUUCUUUUUUUCUCUAAUUAUUUUUGCUGGGAUUUGUCAAAGUUUCAAUUUUUAAUUCAUUUUUGUUCAUAUUUCAUGGAUUUUGCUCUUGAAUCUUCGGUUUUCAAUCGACCCACGUUCGUUCCAACAAUAAAAAACUCGUUUUUCCUCUACCAAUAUCGAUGUUCUCAAUUUCCUGUCAAGAUUUCACCCAGAAGUCAUCACUAUCCAAAGUUUCAUUCCUAGAUGUCCCAAAAACAAAAUUUUGGACUCUAGAACCCACGUGAAACCAAUACACAAAAGUCACUACAGAACUGGGUCGUGAAAAAAAUGAAGUUUUGGAUUCAAAUUUAGAGAAAGUUAAGUUUUUCAUGAAAGGGGGAGUCGUUUUAGGGGCUUUUGUUUGUGGGGUAUUGGUGCUUGGUUGUAAGAGAGUUUUUGCUGUGGAGAGUGAAGUAAAUAUUGGGUAUGGAGUUACUUGACAGAGCAUAUUGUUGUUGAAGAAUGCUUGGCCUAAAGUUUCUCAUGUUUGAGAGUGUUUAAAGAGCAAGGUUUGGUUUUGGCUGCGCUUUUGGGGUUGCCUGCGUUCUUUCAAUGGCUGAGACGUCUAUCACCACGCUUUUGCCUUGGAAGGUGCAGGAAUUGGCAGAAAAAGAGCCUGAUAAUGGUGUCUUUAAAAUGCUUUGAAGUGAUGUUACUCAGUUUUUGACGACUAUUCUCACUGGAUCAGCGUCCUACCCUCCCCCUUAAUUGUGGCAAAUAUUGGAGCCAUUGCGUUAGUCACAGAGGUGGCAACAGCUUUAUUUUGUAUGCCUGGUGUCAGUGCAGCAACAGGAGUAAUGACUGUAAGUAUGACUUUCUCUCUCUAUUAAAGACAUGCAUAUAUAUUAUGAACUCAUAUUGAAAUGCCAUGCAGUGCUUAUAGUCGACAUCUAAGUUAUUGGUGGACAGGAUAUAGUUUCCAUCAAACUGAGUAUUUGUCCUCAUUGAAACAAAGUUCAUCUCGUCUAUGGAUUAAAAGCUCAUGCAGAUACACACUAAGAUUUCUAUACCUUAUUUCAAUUGCUUUAACCAGUUUUCCAUUUCCUGAAUGAUAUUGGGUGGCCGUAUUACUUCUCACUGAAAUUUCUCCAAAAAGUAUUGCUGUUCAUAGUGCCAUAGAGGUUGCUAGGCUUGUGGUAACUUUAAAUUAUAUAUUCCAUUUUCUUCAAUCUAAAUAAGGGUGUCUCUGUUAAUGCUUAAUAGAUUUGGCUUUCCCUUGGAUUUUCCUCAACCUCAUGCUUAAUGUAGUUCUGUAGGUUUUCUGUGCUUUGCUGAUAUUACUGUCUGAGCUCUAUUUGACUUUGCAAGGUUUCUAGGUCAGGCCAGUGGCAUUGCUUUCCUUGGUACCUUUACCCUGUGGGAAGAGUUGUUACAUAUCUAUCAAUGGGAAUGCUAAAAGCUCUUGGUUUGAAAGGAUCAAGGUAUGUUUGAUCAUGAUCUUUUAUUUUUUUGGUGAAAAGAUAAUCAUUGCUACUUUUUUUUUUUUUUUUUAAUCUUUUUGUAUCUUCCACAUCAUACUUCAUUUGUUAGCCAUUUCCAUCAAAUUGUAAUGUCCGUUGAUCAUGUUGUGAUUUUAGACAACUCAUUUGAAUGAGCCUAAUGGUUUUCAGUUGUAUUCAAGAAAGUAUUUCUUGGCUAGCAAAAGAACAGGACACAAGGUUAUGAUAAUAAAUUUGCUAUUUAUCAAGUUAUAUUUGUAUGGAGUUAUUCAUAUCAUGUGUAAGGCUAUUUAGAGAAGGAAGUUAGGAUUAGAAUGGGGCAGUAGGUUACUAGCAACAAAGCAGAGGUUUAAGUGGUAGUUAUAUAUACUAUGUAAAUAAGAUUCUAAUCCUGGAUGUUUUAUUCAUUCAUCUAAUAAUUGCAAGAGGAAUUUCAUUUGAUUGUAUUAUGUUAUUAAAACGGAUUUAGGAUUUGGUUUGAAUGUAGCCACUUAAGUUUUGAUCAUGCUAUGCCCCAAUGUCCUGUAUAUGAGGCAAAUAUUCUUAUUAGUGAGGACAUAUUAAUUGAAAGAGUCAUUUUUUAGUUUGUCGUAUUUAUUCAUUCAUCUAAUAAUUGCAAGAGGAAUUUCAUUUGACUGUAUUAUGUUAUUAAAAUGGAUUUAGGAUUUUGUUUGAAUGUUGCCACUUAAGUAUUGAUCAUGCAAUGUCCCAGUGUCCUGUAUACGAGGCAAAUAUUCUUAUUAGUGAGGACAUAUUAAUUGAAAGAGUCAUUACAUAGUUUGUGGUAAAUAGUGUUCUAUUAACUAUCUUUUUCCCCAGUCGUUAUCUGUAUCUUAAAUGCUUUCUUUAUCAGUUAGCCAUAAGUUGCUGAAGAUGAGUUGAAGCUGAUGUUGUGCGGAGUAGAGUUGAGUGGGGCAAUAGAGGAGAAAGAACAGAAAAAUAUGCUUCAUGGCACCAUUCCAGGAAAAUUUGCAAAGCACAGUCCUUUGAGGACCACCCUUAACUUCAA